GCUAUCGUGGCCAAGUGGUUAAGGCGAUGGACUAGAAAUUCAUUGUGGUCUCCCCGCACAGGUUCGAAUCCUGUCGACUGCA
rfam:Ixodes scapularis strain Wikel colony gcontig_1108379484337, whole genome shotgun sequence.